rnacentral:rRNA from 1 species
GACGAACGCUGGCGGCGUGCUUAACACAUGCAAGUCGAACGAAGAGCGAUGGAAGCUUGCUUCUAUCAAUCUUAGUGGCGAGCGGGUGAGUAACGCGUAAUCAACCUGCCCUUCAGAGGGGGACAACAGUUGGAAACGACUGCUAAUACCGCAUACGAUCUAAACUCGGCAUCGAGGAUAGAUGAAAGGUGGUCUCUACAUGUAAGCUAUCACUGAAGGAGGGGAUUGCGCCUGAUUAGCUAGUUGGAGGGGUAACGGCCCACCAAGGCGAUGAUCAGUAGCCGGUCUGAUGGGAUGAACAGCCACAAUGGGACUGGGACACGGCCCAGACUCCUACAGGAGGCAGCAGUGGGGAAUCUUCCGCAAUGGACGAAAGUCUGACGGAGCAACGCCACGUGAGUGAUGACGGCCUUCGGGUUGUAAAGCUCUGUUAAUCGGGACGAAAGGCCUUCUUGCGAAUAGUGAGAAGGAUUGACGGUACCGGAAUAGAAAGCCACGGCUAACUACGUG